GCUUGCUGGUGUGGAUGAGUGGCGAACGGGUGAGUAAUACGUGAGUAACCUGCCCUUGACUCUGGGAUAAGCCCGGGAAACUGGGUCUAAUACUGGAUGCUACAUGUCACCGCAUGGUGGUGUGUGGAAAGGGUUUACUGGUCUUGGAUGGGCUCACGGCCUAUCAGCUUGUUGGUGAGGUAAUGGCUCACCAAGGCGACGACGGGUAGCCGGCCUGAGAGGGUGACCGGCCACACUGGGACUGAGACACGGCCCAGACUCCUACGGGAGGCAGCAGUGGGGAAUAUUGCACAAUGGGCGAAAGCCUGAUGCAGCGACGCCGCGUGAGGGAUGACGGCCUUCGGGUUGUAAACCUCUUUCAGCAGGGAAGAAGCCACAAGUGACGGUACCUGCAGAAGAAGCGCCGGCUAACUACGUGCCAGCAGCCGCGGUAAUACGUAGGGCGCAAGCGUUGUCCGGAAUUAUUGGGCGUAAAGAGCUCGUAGGCGGUUUGUCGCGUCUGCUGUGAAAGCCCGGGGCUUAACCCCGGGUGUGCAGUGGGUACGGGCAGACUAGAGUGCAGUAGGGGAGACUGGAAUUCCUGGUGUAGCGGUGGAAUGCGCAGAUAUCAGGAGGAACACCGAUGGCGAAGGCAGGUCUCUGGGCUGUUACUGACGCUGAGGAGCGAAAGCAUG
rnacentral:rRNA from 1 species